rnacentral:lncRNA from 1 species
AAAUUAACACUUAGAAAAUUCUGGGCUGCCGAGAAUUUUCCGGUCAAUGCCGGUCAACCCACUUUGACCUUAAAUAACUCUUAAUCCAUAAUAUAUAUGGACCUGAUUCGUUUUGGAGCUUAUAUAACACAUGACAAGAUACACAUAACAACCUUUAGAACACAAAACACAUUAAAGAUAACCGAGAUAUAAGGCCUGACAUUUUCCAAAAUAAUAUUUU